AAGUCGUAACAAGGUUUCCGUAGGUGAACCUGCGGAAGGAUCAUUAUUGAAUUAAUAGUGGUAGUGCUGAUGCUGGUGGUCAAACACAUGUGCUCGCUCUGCCACUUAUUAACAUUUCCACCUGUGAACUAUUGUAGAUGUUGAAGGUCACCUCUCAAGCUUUCAGCAAUGAUAUGCUUGGUCUGGCGUUUGCGGGCUUCAUUCAGUUGAAGUCGGCUCUCGCUGCGAACUUCAACAUCUAUCCUUACAUAUACCCAUUAACAAAAAGUAACAAGAAGGACUUGAGAUUGGGCUUCAUUGCCUAUAAAUCAAUUAUACAACUUUCAGCAACGGAUCUCUUGGCUCUC
rnacentral:misc_RNA from 1 species